rnacentral:rRNA from 1 species
AUACAGAGGGUGCGAGCGUUAAUCGGAAUUACUGGGCGUAAAGCGCGCGUAGGCGGCUUAUUAAGUCAGAUGUGAAAUCCCCGGGCUCAACCUGGGAACUGCAUCUGAUACUGGUAAGCUAGGGUUUUGGAGAGGGAAGUAGAAUUUCAGGUGUAGCGGUGAAAUGCAUAGAGAUCUGAAGGAAUACCAGUGGCGAAGGCGACUUCCUGGCCAAAAACUGACGCUGAGGUGCGAAAGCGUGGGUAGCAAACGGGAUUAGAUACCCGAGUAGUCC